rnacentral:rRNA from 1 species
GAGCCCGCACAAGCAGUGGAGUAUGUGGUUUAAUUCGACGCAACGCGAAGAACCUUACCAGGACUUGACAUCCUAAGAAUCCGGCGUAAUGGCUGGAGUGCCCUUCGGGGAGCUUAGAGACAGGUGGUGCAUGGUUGUCGUCAGCUCGUGUCGUGAGAUGUUGGGUUAAGUCCCGCAACGAGCGCAACCCUUACGGUUAGUUGCUACGAAAGAGCACUCUAGCCGGACUGCCGUUGACAAAACGGAGGAAGGUGGGGACGACGUCAAAUCAUCAUGCCCCUUACGUUCUGGGCUACACACGUACUACAAUGGCGUUUAACAGAGGGGAGCGAAGGAGCGAUCUGGAGCAAAACCCAAAAAGGCGCCCCAGUUCAGAUUGUAGGCUGCAACCCGCCUAUAUGAAGUUGGAAUUGCUAGUAAUCGCAAAUCAGAAUGUUGCGGUGAAUACGUUCCCGGGCUUU